UAGGCAACGUGGUGAAAGUUCAUAUCGAAUAAAGAUACAAAAAGUUACCUGGGUGUGGUGGUGCGCAUUUUGUGCCAGCUACCUGGAUGGCAGAGUGGGGAAGAUAACUUGAUCCCUGAAUGUGCAGGUUCCAGUGAACAGUGAUCAUGUUCACUCCAGCUUGGGUAACAGAGGCCAUCUGCCAACUGAAAAAAAAAAAGGAAUAAGUGGAAAAAUGCCUUAGUUUAGUAGUAAACACAGUCAAGACACAGCGCUGACUGUGAUCUCAAGGACCCACUUGGGUGUUGAGCUCCCACUCACCUUCCCCGCAGGAACCUGCUGUAUGGCUGGGAUGGAGAGGGUCAGUUCCCCCCUCUUGCUGCCUCCCUGAUGAGUUGUUUCAGUGUCAGAGCCAGUGUGAGUGUGAGCAGCAACGGACUCUUGACACACGCAGACAUUGCGUUGAGAAGCUCAAGUGCAAGGACAGAUAGCACUUGCAAACUAGGGCUACCUUUAAAGGAGAGGAUAACUAAGUAUUUUCAAAGCUUUAUUGUCUCAAAAGAAAGGUUUCUUUUUACCAAGUAUUACAUAUUGCAGAAUGGCUGAUGCACACAGAAGCACCAGAGGUGGAUUCUAGGGGGGAAAUGAGAUUGGAAGGACUCAGGAAGGGAGGGCAAGUGAGCUCAAGUCAGAUUAGGAGGCAGGAGCCUGAAGGGCCUGCAGGGACACACAGCCUGCCCUGGGUGCUGUGCCCUGUUUGAGAUGGGCUAUUUCACGUUGAUGGGGUGACCUGGGGCUAGAAAACCUCUCUUCCCUGCUCCUCUUCUGCACCUGCUGACUCACUCUGUGUCCUUUUACUUCCCACAGGAUACACCGUGCUGGAAGAGUUCUCCUACCAAUCCUCAGAUGAGGAGGAGCCACCACAGGGGUAGCUUGAUUUCGUGCUUGGGUAAUGGUGCACUUCAUUACCAAGUCACAGGACCUUGAGAGGGAAUAUCCUGCGAGAACGACGUUAGCGCAGAGGAACCCUCCAAGGAAAAAGGUGUGUAUUCUGGGAGCGCUCCUCCGCUCAGGAAAGAUCUUCAGUGUGGCAACAGAUGGCACUUACUCUCCUGCUUUUGCUGGAGGGCUGCUUUGGUUUGAGCUUCCUGACAGAAAGGAGAUAGGGGCAGUUUGGUUUAAAAAACGCUCAGUCCGGGGGCCAAUAUUCAAUAUACUUAAUCAACAGAACUUUCAGCCCAGAAUUUCAUAUCCUGCCAAUUGAAGCUUUACAUUUGAAGGAAAAAUAAAAUUUUUUAGGAACAAGCA
rnacentral:lncRNA from 13 species